UACGGAAGGGGGCUAGCGUUGCUCGGAAUCACUGGGCGUAAAGCGCACGUAGGCGGAUUGUUAAGUCAGGGGUGAAAUCCUGGAGCUCAACCCCAGAACUGCCUUUGAUACUGGCGAUCUCGAGUCCGGGAGAGGUGAGUGGAACUGCGAGUGUAGAGGUGAAAUUCGUAGAUAUUCGCAAGAACACCAGUGGCGAAGGCGGCUCACUGGCCCGGUACUGACGCUGAGGUGCGAAAGCGUGGGGAGCGAACAGG
rnacentral:rRNA from 1 species